rnacentral:rRNA from 1 species
UACGUAGGAGGCGAGCGUUGUCCGGAAUUACUGGGCGUAAAGCGCACGUAGGCGGCUUUGUAAGUUAGAGGUGAAAGCCUGGAGCUCAACUUCAGAAUAGCCUUUAAGACUGCAUCGCUUGAAUCCAGGAGAGGUGAGUGGAAUUCCGAGUGUAGAGGUGAAAUUCGUAGAUAUUCGGAAGAACACCAGUGGCGAAGGCGGCUCACUGGACUGGUAUUGACGCUGAGGUGCGAAAGCGUGGGGAGCAAACAGG